rnacentral:lncRNA from 1 species
AUUAAUAUUUUCCAACUCUCAUGCAUAUUUAAAUUUGUUAGGCGUGAUGUUUGCUUCGAUUUGCAUGUCGGCGUGUUGAAAACGGUUUAGGUCGUAACUCUUUGUCCGUAGCUCCGUUGGAGUUGUGCCAUAUAUGUAAAUGGACCAGAACGACGAGUAGAAUCACGUGUACCACUUUGUUUUCUUGUUUAACAAACUUAAAAUGUGGUUAGGAAAAAUCUGGACAGAAUUAGAAUUUAGCACGUGGGGUCAUUUCGGAGAUGCUAUAUGCCGUUUCCGGUCUCAUUUAAAAUGCCUAGCUAGGUAGAUUAAUUUGUGCUUCAACCCCUUGCCAUGUUGACAACCUUUUAAUAUUGCCGAGUACCUAAUCGGGAUAGAACUAAAUAACUAACGUGGAGUUUCUUCAAUAUGCAACUCGUUGCAUAUUAAACUUCACUUAAUGUGUAGUGUUUGAUUGUUGUGAUUGUCAUGCCUUGCAUUAGACCGUUCAUGCAUCAUAUGUGUCUUGCAUCGUGUGGUUAAUAUCGUGUGAUGAUUUGUGUUUCCGGUUUGCUUCGUCUCGAUAGAGUUCCGCAAGCGAGUCGGAUUGUGAGGACCCGUUCGACUACGUCGGUUCGUCUGCUUCACGGAUUCAUUCUUCUUCCAAGCGGGAUCUCAGGCAAGAUGAUCAUUUCCCCAGAUACCAUUACUAUCAUUGCCAUGCUAGUUAUUUCGAUGCCAUCGCUUAUGUCUCGUUGCCUACCACAUGUUAAAUAUCAGCCUCUCAACAAUGCCAUGAAACCUUCAACCUACUCAACCUAGCAAACCACUGAUUGGCUAUGUUACCGCUUGCUUAAUCCUGUGUAGCGUUGUUAGUUGCAGGUGCAGUUGCUUCCAUGUGAUUACAUGGGUUCCUUGUUAUAUCACCAUAUUAAAUGCUAUUUAAUUUAAUGCACCUAUAUACUUGGUAAAAGGAGGAAGGCUCGGCCUUUCUAGCCUGGUGUUUUGUUCCACCUUUGCCCCCUUAGUUACCGGCUACCGGUGUUAUGUUCCAUAAAUGAGCGCUCCUAACACGAUCGGGGUUGUUAUGGGGACCCCCUUGAUAAUUCGUUUUAGAUUAAAGCUGGUCUGGCAAGGCCCAACAUUGGUACUACAUUUGCCUAAUCACCUAAUAAAAUUGCAUAGGGACUUCCCGGGCCCCGAGGAUAAUUUAAUCAACCCCCGGGCCAGUGCUCCUCAUGAGUGUUGGUCCAAAACAGAGCAGCUUAUUAACGCUACCCGGGGCAACUCGGUGUUUGGCGUGGUAACCAUAGCUCAUCCGUCGUGUCCUGAGAACGAGGUACACGACUCCUAUCGGGAUCGUCGACACGUCGGGCGGCCUUGCUGGAUUAGUUUUACCUUUGACGAGAUAUCUUGUGCAUCGGGAUUCCGGUGAUGCUUUGGGUAAUCUCAGAGUUGAGGUUUUCCACCAGGGAAUCCGACGAGAUCGCGAGCUUCGUGAUUGAGGAUUUCUAUGCGGCUUGUGGUAAUUUGUGAUGGACUAGUUGGAGCACCCCUGCAGGGUUAAAUCUUUCGGAAAGCCGUGCCCGCGGUUAUGUGGCAACGUGGAAGCUUUGUUUAACACUGGUUCUAGAUAACUUGAAGUUAACUUAAUUAAAAUAUGCCCACUGUGUGCGUAACCGUGACUGUCUCUUUCGUGAGUUCUUUCUCCGAUCGAGAACACGGUGGGGUUAUGUCUGACGUAGGUAGGUGUUCAGGAUCAUUCUUUUGAUCAUCAGUAGUUCACGUCCGUUAUGCGUAGAUCUUCCCCCUCUGAUUACUGGUACUCAUAAGUUAGCCACCAAAUAUAUGCUUAGUCGCUGCUGCAACCUCACCACUUAACCAUACCUCACCCAUUAAGCUUUGCUAGUCUUGAUACCUUUGGAAAUGAGAUUGUUGAGUCCCCUGUGGCUCACAGAUUACUACAACACCAGUUGCAGGUACAUGUAAAGGUUACUUGACGCGAGCGCGUUGAUUUUUCAUUUGGAGUUGCUUCUUCUUCUUCUUCUUAUUUGAUCUAGGAUGGGUUCCAGACCGGCAGCCUAAGAUAGCAAGGAUGGACGUCGUUCUUCUUUUGUCGUUUGUUUUUCAUCCGUAGACGGACCCUGCUCUUACUCUUGAUGAUUAUGUAAUGUACUGAUGUGACUCUGAUGUAGCUUGUGGCGAGUGUAAGCCAACCCUCUUUAUAUAUCUCUCCUUUUAAGUACAUGUACUUGUAACGAUAUCCAUUCUUGCGACACGACGAGAUGCGCUUCUAUCCCUGACGAGGCCCCCGUGCCAAAUGGAGGAUAGGGUCGCAUCUUGGGCGUGACAGCUACUCCACGAGAGAAAAUGACACUUGCCAUUUGAGAGCAACCCAUUCCUCGAAGAGUUUGAGAGAAAAUCAUCAUUGAGGAAAAAUCCCAAACACCAAACCAAAACCCAAAACCCAAAGUGAUUGAGCAUCACUGAAGAGAUUGUUCAUGUGAGGUACCGACGCUUGUUACCUUUGAAGACUAUGUAUCUUCCAGAGGUUAGGCGUCAUUGGUCUAGAGCAUCCAGCAGUAAAUUUUGGAUUGUCGGAUGACCGAGUUUGUGAGGGUUUGGAAGUCUGCCUUGAAGACUUACCACGAGUGUUGGGCGAGGACUGUGUGUCCUUAGCUCAAGGAGAAUACGGUAAGGACUUAGUGUUCUAGGACUGUGUGUCCUUUGGUUUAAAUACCAAGUCACUCCAAACCAGACAUACGACUGUCACACGAGUUCGAAUUGGGCCAUCAAAUCAUUGUCUUCACCGAGUACCUGGUUCUAUUUACUCAACCCUUUUAUUUCCUCAUUUAUGUGUUGAUGAAAUUGAUCGUUGCUGUUUGAAGAAUUUUCCUGAAGACUUUCACAAUUUCCUCAUCCCAAAUUCUUCACUUCACUUGUUACUAUGUCAGAGUGAGUGCUUUGGGAACUAUGUGAAGAGAUUCAAGCAAUUCGACUCUCAAGCGAAGAAUAUCAUUUGUGGCUAUCUGAGCAAAGGUUACUAUGUCAGAGUGAGUGCUUUGGGAACUGCAAACCUCAUGUGGGACAGGUUGUCCAAGGUCAACGAAGGAGUGUCUACUCAACAUGACUCGCGGGUUGAUGUUUUCGCCAUCUCUUCAACCCCUUCAAAAGACUCGAUAGUGAGAGUUGCCAGCAAACCUUUGAUCGCCUCACUGAUAUCUCCAAUGAGCUACAGACUCUUGGGGCCAAUGACAUCACCGACCAUGAUGUGGCGAAGUAACUGUUGAGAUCUCUUGAUUCUUCAUUUAAUACACUAGUUCUGAUGAUUCAAGAGCGAAGAGAUUUGUCGUUGUAUUUCCGCGGCAUAUGUCAAGGGGUGACUUAGAUCAUGGUUUGGGGACGAUGGGCGUCGGCGGCGUCUGGGAACGGGUGUAGGCGCAACACACAUGACGCCGAUCUACCCAGGUUCAGGGCCCUCCGAUGAGGUAAAACCCCUAGUCUGACAUGUGUGACUAUAUGAGAUCACAGUACAAAUGGUGCUCCUUGAGUUGUUCGUGAGGAUGGGGACGGAGCUCUUGUUGCCGGCUUUGCUGCCUCAGUGGUGUGUGUUUCUACGUGGGGAGUGUGAUCGUAUUCCCCGGGGUGCCCCCUCACUCGGGGCUGAGAUGAGGCUUUAUAGUGCAGCCUGAGGUGUACAGUUGUGGGGGUAAAAUAGGAGGUGGGGCCGGGCUGCGAGCCUCUCCGGUUGGCCGUGGGGCCUGCCAGCUGUCGUGUCUUGCCCGACGCGAGGCCUGCCGGUCGUACAUCUGAUAGGCUAAUGUGCCGGUUGUCACGGAGUAGGGAGGAGUGAGCAUGGCUACAUGGUCAUCUCACUCGGUCACUGUUAGGGCAUAUUUCUCCCUAAGUGGUUUUGGUGAUUGAUGACAAUGCAUGUGCAGACUAAUCGUGUGUGUUGAGCAUUUUAGAUAAUUCAUGUCUAGACACAAGACGAUUCGCUGCCCCUCGGAGUCUAUCAAAGAUGGUUGCUUUCUACGUUUCUUUUCGGUGGAUUUGAGUCGUAGGAAAGUCGUACUAUUAAGAGGGGGUCCGCUUCGGAAAGGUUAGGGUGGAAUCAGCACGUACACAUCUGUUCUUUUGCACCACCUUUCCUUCGCUUCAAUGGAGCUCCAGUUUGUUUCCCCCUAUGUGUGCAAAAUGCGAGUGGUAGUACCGCACGUGCCAGUGGUAGUACCGCAGGUGCGAGCAGUAGUACCGCUCUAGGAGCGAUAGUAGUUUUUUACUAUCGCUCUCUGGCGGUAGUACCAUCCGGUACUACUCGGUCGGACUUUUCCACAACCGCGGCCUCAACGGUGGUAGGGGCACAAGUAAUUUUUACUUCCGUGGUUGGUGGAUCUACCGUGCGGUAGUACCGCUCCUAGCAUUGGUAGUACCGCUUUGCUCGGGCUGAGAGUGGGUGUAACUAUUGGAUUCUUUCCUCCACUAUAUGAAGGGGUCUUUGUGAUAGCCCAAUGCUAGCGUUCCAGAAGAUUCCCCCCUUUAUUCGUUUUCGUCGUGUGUCUAUUUUCUUUUGUCGCAUCAUCAUCGCAUUAUGCGCAUCAUCAACAUUGCAUCGACACCCUGUUGCCGCCAGUUUUCAAAAGUUGCAUCCGUUGUUAGUUGUCGGUUAUCGUCGUUGUUCGUUCCGAGGCCGACCGCACUCGCACGCGCCCGCGGCAUCGUCAAACCUUGUUUUAAAAGUGUGUCGAAAACUUCCUCGGAUCGGGUUGAGAUUUGACGCACGGUCUUUAUUAGUUGUAGUUAGGCCGCCUAUCAAGUUUCGUCGCGAUCGGAGUUCGUCUAGUACCCGAACGGUCGACCGUAGCGGCACCGUAUUCAGACUACCGUCGGACGUGUGUCGGUGUUUUAAAAAUCGUUGCCGCGCAGCCCGUUUUCCCUCUCGUCUCCGAUAAACCACCCUACACGGCCACAUACCCAUUCCCACACGCGGAAUCGUUCGAAUCCGACCCCACAGUUGGAUCCGGAACGAAAUUCCGGCUAACCUAGCCCCCCCCUUUCCUCUAUAAAUAGUCCCUCCGUGCUUAGUUUCACAGAGCCCCUCCUCCACCUCGGGAUCCGUGCCACCUACCCCCGAAACCCUAACUGCCUCUCCCACCUCUCUCUCCUCCCCCAGCCGCCGGGCCCGCCCGAGCCUACGCGCGGCCCGCCCGAAGCCCAUCCGGACGCCACCCUUUCUGCCCCCGAGCCUCCCGAGCUCCUGUCCAUGGCCAGCCCCGCCGCGUGCGCCCGGUGCCCCGAGCGUCUAGANNNNNNNNNNNNNNNNNNNNNNNNNNNNNNNNNNNNNNNNNNNNNNNNNNNNNNNNNNNNNNNNNNNNNNNNNNNNNNNNNNNNNNNNNNNNNNNNNNNNGGCCUUCCUCCGCUCGCCCCGGGCCGAAGACUGCGUCGGCCGGCCCCUGCACCGCCGACCGAGCUCCCUCCGGUGCCUCCUCCUUGCCAGGCCGCCCCGCCUCCACUACACCGCCCCACCGCCGGAUCGGCCUCGCCGGGCUGCAACACCACGUCGGCCAUCGCCCUCCCUCGAGCCCGCUUUGCACCUCUACGGGCUCGGUGAGAACAACCCCCUCUUCUCCUCUCUGCCCUCCGGAUCCAUUCCGACGAACGUCGCCGCAUUCCGACGCCGUUAGGGUCGUGCAGGUGGAGAUGAGGUUGUCACCUUCCUCCUCUCUGUUGAGAGAGGAGCAGGGAGAGUUGUACAGAGAGAUGCAGAGGAGAGAAAGUUAAUAAUAAAAUGCAUAUGUAUGUAUAUAAAAAAUUAUGUAUGUAUGAAUUUAUGCAUGUAUAUACAUAUAAUAGAUAUUACUGGAUGUGUGAGUUUGUGUGUUGUGUAUGUGUGUGCGUGUAGUGUUUGUGUGCUCGUUGUCCCGAUGACAUGCGGGACCCAUGUCCCUAAAGAUAAUAAUAAUAAAAAUAAUGUUAAUGUUUUUAUUAAAUAAAUAAAUAGAUAUAUUAGUUAAAUUAAUUAAUUAGCAGAAUGAGAGUAUGACACGUGGGUCCCCCACUAAAUUAAUCUGAUUAAUUAAUAUUUAAUCUUAAAUAAAACUUGUGCCUAUGACGUUCGGGACCCACAGGUCAGUUGACCAGUCAACUGCUGAUGUCAGCAUGACAUCACGAUGAUGUCAUAAUAGGAUUUUAUUAAAAUAGUUAAAUCUGUUUUUAAUUCCUAAUUAUUAAAUAAAACUUUAAAAAUUAAUAUUAAAUAAUCCGUAAGUCAGAUCAAAAUAUUUUCAACAUGAAAGUUGAUCAGCAAAACGAGACGAACCCGGAUACACGGCGUGUUCGUCUGUCACGCGUCCCUAGCAUAGCAAACUUGGAACUUUUCCUUCGUUUCCAGUAUAACCGGUAGUAGCCCGAGACCCGGAAAAUAUCGUCAGAUAUUCUUCCGACCCGUCUAUGACGGAUGUUGCUGCGUUAGCUCAUGUCUAGCCUGCAUCUUGCCAUGUCAUGCUUUGUGUUGCACCGUUGCUAUUAUUUAUUGUUUCUUCCCCCUCUUCUUACCGGUAGACCCCGAGACUGACGCUGCUGCCGGGUACAUCUACGACCCUGCCGAUCAGUCCUUUGCCGCAGAGCAGCAAGGCAAGCAAACUCCCCUUGAUCAUUCCUAUAUCACCUAUGUCUUUCUUCCUACUGCUUGCAUUAGUAUUUUGCUACUGUUGUAGUUAGCUCCUAUAUCUGAUGCAUAGCCUGUUUUUGAUGAACUGCUACUUUCAGUCAGGUACCUUUAUUAUGCUUAGUAUAGGUGGAGCAGUCAUCCCCUCUGACCCCGUAGUUCAGUUGCCCCGCUUGUUUUCAAGUCUCGAUCUCUGAUCGACGAGCCAGACCCGACACAGCACAUUCACCCCCCUUUGUUGUACGACGCUAUAGGGAUACUAUCGGGUACCGAGGGUGACACCUCGCUAAGUACUCCUGAUGAUAUCUCUGUAGUAUAACUAGUCGGUCGUGGUUAUCGAGGGUGAUUCCUCUUUCACCAUUCCCGAUGACGCCUCUGUCGUGCAACCCCGCGAGUGUGGGACCCCCGAGGGUGAUUCCUCUAAGCCCACCUUGACGGGUACAUCGUUCGGAAUCCAACGAGGGUGAUACCUCGGGUUCCCCCCAAUGUUACAACCACACAGUUACUCGACCAUGUUACUGGGAUCAUUGGUUAUUAGUUGUAAGACGGGUGGAUUCCCGUGAGAUUGUGUUGGUGGCCUAAUUAAAAUGCUAAUGGAUUUGGGUAUUUGAUCUGGGUUGGUCGGAGACCUUUUCGCACUAACCGGCUACGCGGGAAGAAUUAUGGGUACUCGGCGUCGCGGUAUCAGCCGAAGCUUUUCAGAUGCCAGCAAUGUAACGGCGCGCGCCCGAGUGGUCCCGAGAUGCAUCGCGCUUGUGAUUAAGGGAUGCUAGGACUGACGUCGGCCGCCCACGCCAUGUGCAUGAGCGUGAAGGGGAACUGGGCCCACGAACCCUUUGUGCUUAGGAGUUAGACCGGCGGGCUGGCCUCUCUGAUUAGUCUUAGGUGGGGCUGCGACGUGUCGAUAUUCCGAGGCCGGGCAGGACCCAGAAAAGUAUGUCCGGCCAGAGUGUUAUCGAGCGUGACGGGACAUGUGGUGCACCCCUGCAGGGAUGAAAAUUAACUAUUCGGAUAGCCGUGUCCACGGUUACAGGACGACUUCGAGUUGUGCCCCGAUCUCUUACAACUACAAUUGUUACUUAACUGGAUCAUUAGUUUGCCUCGGGAUUGCUUCCUCGCAGGGAGUCGAGGGAGGAUCUUUAGGCAUGACCUCACUCUAAUAUUGCUGCAACAAUAUGACUAUUAAUGUUACCCCUGUUCUACUCUCGUCUAUUGCUGCAAGACCCUGAAGAUGCUAGUCUUCGAUAGGACUAGGCUUUCUCUCUCUAUUCUCGCAUUGCUGCAGUCAGUUCACAUAUAACCCCCUUCUUUGAUACUGAUGCAUAUUUAGAAUAGUCCUGAUGUAAGACUUGCGAGUACUUUGGAUGAGUACUCACCGCUGCUUUGCUCCCCCUUGUCCCCUUGAUCCGUUUGCUGCGACCAGAUGAUGGAGCCCAGGAGAUGGAGGUCCCCGCCGCCGCCGACUGCUACCCCGACGGUGCCUACUACUACGUGGAGGCNNNNNNNNNNNNNNNNNNNNNNNNNNNNNNNNNNNNNNNNNNNNNNNNNNNNNNNNNNNNNNNNNNNNNNNNNNNNNNNNNNNNNNNNNNNNNNNNNNNNAAAUGGGUUCCUAGAGCAUGAACAUUUUCUACUACGGCAUUCGAACUAACCGGACUUGCACGAGAAAUUAAUUACGAGACUAAUCCUAUUAGGACAACACGUAAAUCUAUGCAUACGGCACGCUAAAGCACGUCAAACAAAUAUGAAAGUUACAAAAACGGAUUCUAUGCGAGAAACUACACGAAAACCAUAUCUAAUUCAUUGCGAUCCGACACUCGGUUUGAAAUCUACGGAGGUUUUAAUAUCUAAUAAAAUUCCUGAAUUCUAUUUAAUUCAGAAACUCUAAAAAAACCUAUCGGGCCGAAACUAGGGCGCGGUUUAUUAUAUUGUGCGUGCGGUGCAAUAUAGAGGCCUGUGGGGGGGAACUCACCUUGACCGAAAGGCUUUGUAGCUGGGCCGGGGCGAGGCCGGCCUCACUGUGAGGGAUAGGAGGAGGCCGCUGGGGCGACCUGGGCCUCGGGUGCCUGGCACUGGGCCGUGGCAAGACAGCCGGCCGAGCCGACUAGUGGCCAUCUGCUAGGCCUCGGCACGAGGCCAGCCCACGAACCGGUCGAGGCGAGGGAGCGACUGCUCGUCGUCUCGACCCUUCCUCUCGACCCGGCGAGGAGAGGUGUCGGCGGCACAGCACGCAUCGCGACAGUUCCUGGUGAUGGAUCCAGCAGGGAACCGGCAUGGGGCGACGCACAGUCWARMGGAUCUGGCGACCGUCUANNNNNNNNNNNNNNNNNNNNNNNNNNNNNNNNNNNNNNNNNNNNNNNNNNNNNNNNNNNNNNNNNNNNNNNNNNNNNNNNNNNNNNNNNNNNNNNNNNNNCCUCAUGAGUUCAAAACUUCUGUUCAAAUUCUGUGAUGUCUUCAUACUCAAACAUGCACGCGCUAAAAAUCUGAUAGAAUACUUGUUUCUUCUUCAUCCUCUUCAUUCUUUUCUUUCUUCUUCCCUUUUUUCUUCUCCCUUUUCUUCUCUUUUUUGUUCUCUUCCUCCUUCUCUUCAUACCUGAGUAGGUUUACCAGGUAACAUGUCUGAAGUAAAUAACUCUAAAGGGAACUGCAGAUAAAUAAAUCAAAAUGUAAGCCUUUCUCUCGCUCGAAAGUUUUAUGAUUUUACCCAAAAGAGGUCCAACAAAUUUGGAAGAACUAAACUUCACAAAUUAAAAAUACGAAGCCUUUGUAUGGACUGUCAGUGGAUCAUCCUAUAUGUACAACAAGGUCUAAGUAGCUAGAUUGGUAAUUCAGUUUAACAAGAUCGAAGCCUUUCUAUGCCUGGCAUAAAUGUAGACAAGAGUCAGCACAUACAGAAGUGCCUGAUUGGUAAUUAAGUUUAGNNNNNNNNNNNNNNNNNNNNNNNNNNNNNNNNNNNNNNNNNNNNNNNNNNNNNNNNNNNNNNNNNNNNNNNNNNNNNNNNNNNNNNNNNNNNNNNNNNNNAAAGAAAGUGCCACUAUUCGAGGGGUAUCUAGCCAAGCAGACGAAUCACUGGAAGGCAUUUCAAGAGUACAAGGAGUCAGAAGAUGCCCAGGCAUUAUUAGAAAAGAACAAGAAAAAAUGCCGACAAGAAGAAAUAUCACCACAAGCUGGGGCCAGGGGCUAUGAGACUACCAUCCCAAAAGUUGGAUAAGAAAGAGCAAGAUCGGCUAGCUAAAAGGCAUUAUACCUGAACCACUCCGUGAUGAGUGGGAAUUGAGAGCAAUAAAUUGGUUCCCUCCGCAUGGUGGUUCGUACGAGGAAGAAACAGGGGACCUCAUCUGCAGUGAUGGUCUUAGGAUACCCAGGGAGAAUUGGAAAAAGAUAGUGAAAGAAAUUAAGGAGGUAAAAGAAAGUUCAACUGCAGAUAGAGAGAAAGAUUUAGGCUCACAACUGGUCCUCGGCAAUGACGAACAUGGAGGACGAACGCGAGGCUUCGGUCAUUUUACCCGUGGUGGCUUGGGUUGUSCSAGAGACCAAGACACUUACAGUAAGCCGNNNNNNNNNNNNNNNNNNNNNNNNNNNNNNNNNNNNNNNNNNNNNNNNNNNNNNNNNNNNNNNNNNNNNNNNNNNNNNNNNNNNNNNNNNNNNNNNNNNNUGAGCCACAGGGGACUCAACAAUCUCAUUUCYMWAGRYAUCAAGACUAGCAAAGCUUAAUGGGUGAGGUAUGGUUAAGUGGUGAGGUUGCAGCAGCGACUAAGCAUAUAUUUGGUGGCUAACUUAUGAGUACCAGUAAUCAGAGGGGGAAGAUCUACGCAUAACGGACGUGAACUACUGAUGAUCAAAAGAAUGAUCCUGAACACCUACCUACGUCAGACAUAACCCCACCGUGUUCUCGAUCGGAGAAAGAACUCACGAAAGAGACAGUCACGGUUACGCACACAGUGGGCAUAUUUUAAUUAAGUUAACUUCAAGUUAUCUAGAACCAGUGUUAAACAAAGCUUCCACGUUGCCACAUAACCGCGGGCACGGCUUUCCGAAAGAUUUAACCCUGCAGGGGGUGCUCCAACUAGUCCAUCACAAAUUACCACAAGCCGCAUAGAAAUCCUCAAUCACGAAGCUCGCGAUCUCGUCGGAUUCCCUGGUGGAAAACCUCAACUCUGAGAUUACCCCAAAGCAUCACCGGAAUCCCGAUGCACAAGAUAUCUCGUCAAAGGUAAAACU